UUAAUUGGAGAGUUUGAUCCUGGCUCAGGCGAACUAGCGGCGCGCUUAACAUGCAAGUCGCACGAGAAAGAGGGGCAACCCUUGAGUAAAGUGGCGCACGGGUGAGUAACACGUGGGUAAUCUACCCCCGAGACUGGAAUAACCCGCCGAAAGGUGGGCUAAUACCGGAUAAGACCACGGGACACAAGUCCUGCGGUCAAAGGCGGGUCGGCAACGGCCUGUUACUUGGGGAUGAGCCCGCGUCCCAUCAGCAGCUAGUUAGUGGGUAACGGCUUGCAAAGGCUAGAACAGGUAGCUGGUCUUGGGGACGAUCAACCACACUGGCACUGAAACACGGGCCAGACUCCUACGGGAGGCAGCAGUGGGGAAUCUUGCGCAAUGGGCGAAAGCCUGACGCAGCGACGCCGCGUGAGGGAAGAAGGUCUUCGGAUCGUAAACCUCUGUCGGAGGGGAAGAAACCUCCGAACGCUAAUACUUGAAUUGACGGUACCCUCUGAGGAAGCAUCGGCUAACUACGUGUAGCAACCAUGAUAAUACGUAGGAUGCAAGCGUUGCUCGGAAUUAUUGGGUGUAAAGGGCGCGUAGGCGGCUUGGCCAGUCACGGGUGAAAGCCCCCGGCUUAACCGGGGAAUUGCCUAUGAUACUACCAAGCUUGAGUACGGGAGAGGGAAGUGGAAUUCCUGGUGUAGCGGUGAAAUGCGUAGAUAUCAGGAGGAACACCGGCGGCGAAGGCGGCUUCCUGGACCGAUACUGACGCUGAGGCGCGAAAGCGUGGGUAGCAAACAGGAUUAGAUACCCUGGUAGUCCACGCCCUAAACGAUGGGCACUAGGUGUGAGGACCUUUUAUGGUCUUCGUGCCGAAGCUAACGCAUUAAGUGCCCCACCUGGGGAGUACGGCCCUGGGGUUGAAACUCAAAGGAAUUGUGAGGGGCCCGCACUGACCGGUGGGCAUAAUAAUAGUUUGCAUUCGACGCAACGCGAAGAGACCUUACCUGGGCCCGACAUCCGGAAAGUCCCUGGAAACAGGGGUGCCCUGGCGUCGUCUCUUAUGGUGCCACCAGGUCAUGCCGGGCACUCUAAGUGAACUGCCAGCAUUCGCCGGAGGAAGGUGGGGAUGACGUGAAAUCAUCGCCAGCGCUAUACCCAGGGCUACACACGUGCCUAAUGGCUGGUACAGAGGGCUGCAAAGCCGCGGUGCGACUAAUCCCUAUAAAGCCAGCCCCAGUUGGGAUUGCAGUCUACCAACUCGACUGCAUGAACGGAAUCAUAGUAAUCGCGGAUCAGAACGCCGCGGUGAAUACGUUCCCAGGCCUUGUACACACCGCCCGUCACACCACGAAAGUCGGUUAUGCAGAAGUCGGUAAGCUAACCCGCAAGGCAGCCGCCUAAGGUAUGGCUGGUGAUUGAGGUGAAGUCGUAACAAAGGUAGCCACGUAGAGAACCUGCGGCU
rnacentral:rRNA from 1 species